UUCCCACAGGAAAUUGCAGUGACCCCGGACAGCUGAGAAAGCUCAGUGGGGAAGGAGCCCCUGAGCUCCCCGGUGCCCAGCCCUGGGGGUGCAGCAGAGCUGGCGAUUGCAGCUGCGGACGUGAGGACUCCACUGCGAGCUGAGCGGGAACAGCCCCUGCCCCUGGCUGAGGCGCAGAGGCACGGAAUGCUCACACUGCCAAGGGCUGAGGGAGCCACGGGCGCUGCUGCUGGACCAGGCACAAACGCAGCAGGAGCAUUUCAGGCACGGCAAGGACAGCUCAUUUCCCUGCCUGCUCCCGCGGCUGCUUCCUUUGCUGCCCCCGACAGUGGUUUUCCGGCAGCUCUGUUCUCUCGGCGCUGGGACGAGCUUUGUGACUCUGCCUCACUCAGCAAACACGCACCUUGGGCUCGGCAUGCACCUCGCCUAUCUCAUCCUCACCGUCUUCCUGGGACAGCUCCUGGGCACCUCAGGGCAAACCACGGUCACCCAGGAAGAUGGAGCAGUCACGGUGAAGGAGGGACACCCCUUCCACACCACCUGCAAAUACCAGAUCAGUAAUUUUCGGGGAUUACUCUGGUACCAGCUACAGAAAGGCCAAGGCCCACAGCUGAUCUCCUAUCAAGCAGGGAGUGGCCCCAAGCACAGCGGCCGUUUCACCACGCACCUCAACACCACGGGGAAAUACAGUGUCCUGCAGGUGCAGCAAGUGGAGCUCUCUGACACUGCCUUGUACCUCUGUGCUGUGCAAGACACCCUGGCCUACCAAGGGCGGAUUCACUCCUACUUCGAUGCUCAGCUGAGCUUAGCACAAACAACACGGGCGGGGACGGGACACGCCUGUCUCUUGUCGCUGGUCGUGCCCAAAUUGUUGUGUCGCUGA